UACGGAGGGUGCGAGCGUUGUCCGGAAUCACUGGGCGUAAAGGGCGCGUAGGCGGCCUGAUAAGUAGGGGGUGAAAUCCUGCGGCUUAACCGCAGGGCUGCCUUCUAAACUGUCAGGCUAGAGCACAGUAGAGGCAGGUGGAAUUCCCGGUGUAGCGGUGGAAUGCGUAGAGAUCGGGAAGAACAUCAGUGGCGAAGGCGGCACUCUGGGCCGGUACUGACGCUGAGGAGCGAAAGCGUGGGGAGCGAACAGG
rnacentral:rRNA from 1 species